CAGCAGUGGGGAAUUGUUCGCAAUGGGCGCAAGCCUGACGACGCAACGCCGCGUGGAGGAUGAAGGUCUUCGGAUUGUAAACUCCUGUUGCCCGGGACGAAUGGAUCCAACCUAAUACGUUGGAGUGUGACGGUACCGGGUGAGGAAGCCCCGGCUAACUCUGUGCCAGCAGCCGCGGUAAUACAGAGGGGGCAAGCGUUGUUCGGAAUUACUGGGCGUAAAGGGCGCGUAGGCGGCCUUCUAAGUCGAACGUGAAAUCCCCGGGCUCAACCCGGGAACUGCGUCCGAGACUGGAAGGCUUGAAUCCGGGAGAGGGAUGUGGAAUUCCAGGUGUAGCGGUGAAAUGCGUAGAUAUCUGGAGGAACAUCGGUGGCGAAGGCGGCAUCCUGGACCGGUAUUGACGCUGAGGCGCGAAAGCCAGGGGAGCAAACGGGAUUAGA
rnacentral:rRNA from 1 species